ACAGAGGCCUCAAGCGUUAGGCGGAAUCACUGGGUUUAAAGCGCGUGUAGGUGGACUUUUAAGUGCUUUGUGAAAUCCCACGGCUCAACCGUGGAACUGCUGGGCAUACUGGAAGUCUUGGGCCAUCCAGGGGCAACCGGAACAAGCGGUGGAGCAGUGAAAUGCGUAGAUAUCGCUUGGAACGCCAAAGGUGAAGACAGGUUGCUGGAGAUGUGCCGACACUGAGACGCGAAAGCCAGGGGAGCAAACGGGA
rnacentral:rRNA from 1 species